rnacentral:rRNA from 1 species
CCCUUAGAUGUUCUGGGCCGCACGCGCGCUACACUGAUGCAUUCAACAAGCCUAGCCUUGACCGAGAGGUCCGGGUAAUCUUUGAAACUGCAUCGUGAUGGGGCUAGAUUAUUGCAAUUAUUAAUCUUCAACGAGGAAUGCCUAGUAAGCGUGAUUCAUCAAAUCGCGUUGAUUACGUCCCUGCCCUUUGUACACACCUCCCGUCGCUCCUACCGAUUGAAUGUGUUGGUGAGGAGCUCGGAUUGGCAGCAGUUGGUGGUUCGCCACCGGCUAUUGCUGAGAAGUCCUCCAAACCGCCCCAUUUAGAGGAAGGAGAAGUCGUAACA